rnacentral:rRNA from 1 species
UUAAAAAAUAAAAUUCUUGAAUAGUAGUUAUUAUAAAUUGAAAUUUAAAAAAUUUGGCGGUAUUUUAAAUUUUUAGAGGAACUUGUUGUUUAAUUGAUAAUACACAUUAAAUUUUACUUAAUUUAUUAAUUUGUAUAUCGUUGUCAUAAAAAGAUUUUUAAAAAAUAAUUUUUGAAAUAUUUUAAUAAAUAAAAUGUCAAAUCAAGGUGCAGUUUAUGAUUAAGGAUUAAAUGAGUUACAAUAAAUUUAUUUAAACGGUUAAAUUUUUGAAAUAAUAUUUUUAAGUUGGAUUUAAAAGUAAAUUUUACUAAAAUUUUUAGUUGAAUUAUAUUUAAAAUGUGC